AUCGCUUCUCAGCCUUUUGGCUAAGAUCAAGUAUAGUAUCUGUUCUUACCAGUUUAAACACACUUUUGGAGGUAAGUACUUCAAGGAGAGAGAAAGUCUUUCAGAAAUAGGGAAUCAGUAGCGUCUGGAUAAGCCAUAUUUUGCAUGUCAGCUCCUGAAUAAUUAGAUUAAUAAUUAACCCCCC
ensembl:snRNA U2 U2 spliceosomal RNA